rnacentral:misc_RNA from 1 species
GAUGAAGAACGUAGCGAAAUGCGAUAAGUAAUGUGAAUUGCAGAAUUCCGUGAAUCAUCGAAUCUUUGAACGCACAUUGCGCCCUCUGGUAUUCCGGAGGGCAUGCCUGUCCGAGCGUCAUUGCUGCCCUCAAGCACGGCUUGUGUGUUGGGCCCCGCCCCCCGAUCCCGGGGGGCGGGCCCGAAAGGCAGCGGCGGCACCGCGUCCGGUCCUCGAGCGUAUGGGGCUUUGUCACCCGCUCUGUAGGCCCGGCCGGCGCUUGCCGAUCAACCAAACUUUUUUCCAGGUUGACCUCGGAUCAGGUAGGGAUACCCGCUGAACUUAAGCAUAUCAAUAAGCGGAGGA